GUACUGAUGAAGAGUCCGGUGAUAGGACGAAACAACUGUCUAGUAC
rnacentral:hammerhead_ribozyme from 1 species